UCAAGAUGAAGUCACAAACACAUGUCCUCAUGUCCUUAUUACUCUGGGUGUCUGGUGCCUGUGCAGAUUUCAUAAUGACCCAGUCUCCAUCCUCCAUGGUUGUGUCAACAGGAGAGAAGGUCACCAUCAGCUGCAAGUCCAGUGAGAGUCUUUUAUACAGUAAAGACCAGAAGAACUACUUGAACUGGUACCAGCAGAAACCAGGGCAGGCUCCAAAACUGUUAAUCUACUAUGCAUCCACUCGGCAUACUGGGGUUCCUGAUCGCUUCUUAGGCAGUGGAUCUGAGACAGAUUUCACUCUCAUCAUCAGCAGUGUCCAAGCUGAAGAUCAGGCAGAUUAUUACUGCCAGCAGUCGUAUAAAUCUCCUCCCACAGUGUUUAAUCCUUCAACAAAAACUUCUGAGAGUCUCAACAGCUGCCUGCACCACAUGCUGCCCUGCACCCACAUACUUUUCUCUUUUGCCUGGGAGACAGUGAGCCUAAAACUCUGA